CUACGGGCCGCUCCAGUGGGGAAUAUUGGACAAUGGGGGAAACCCUGAUCCAGCAAUGCCGCGUGUGUGAAGAAGGCCUGCGGGUUGUAAAGCACUUUCGGUUGGGAGGACUGCUUCUAGCACUAAUAUUGUUGGAAGUUGACGUUACCUUCAGAAGAAGCACCGGCUAACUCCGUGCCAGCAGCCGCGGUAAUACGGUGGGUGCAAGCGUUAAUCGGAAUUACUGGGCGUAAAGCGCGCGUAGGCGGCUAGAUCAGUCGGGUGUGAAAGCCCCGGGCUUGACCUGGGAACUGCAUCCGAUACUGUCUAGCUUGAGUACAGGAGAGGAGAGUGGAAUUCCACAUGUAGCGGUGAAAUGCGUAGAUAUGUGGAGGAACACCAAUGGCGAAGGCAGCUCUCUGGCCUGAUACUGACGCUGAGGUGCGAAAGCGUGGGGAGCAAACAGGAUUAGAUACCCUUGUAGUC
rnacentral:rRNA from 1 species